AUACGGCGGAUGCGAGCGUUAUCCGGAUUUAUUGGGUUUAAAGGGAGCGUAGGUGGGAUAUUAAGUCAGCUGUGAAAGUUUGGGGCUCAACCUUAAAAUUGCAGUUGAUACUGGUUUCCUUGAGUACGGUAUAGGUGGGCGGAAUUCGUGGUGUAGCGGUGAAAUGCUUAGAUAUCACGAAGAACUCCGAUCGCGAAGGCAGCUCACCGGGCCGGAACUGACACUGAUGCUCGAAAGUGCGGGUAUCAAACAGGAUUAGAUACCCUGGUAGUCCGCACAGUAAACGAUGAAUACUCGCUGUUUGCGAUACACUGUAAGCGGCCAAGCGAAAGCGUUAAGUAUUCCACCUGGGGAGUACGCCGGCAACGGUGAAACUCAAAUGAAUUGACGGGG
rnacentral:rRNA from 1 species